GCGGUGGCUCCGUGGCAGAGCGCCUGCCUAGCAUGUGUGAGGCCCUGGGUUCGAUCCUCAAAACCGCA
rnacentral:tRNA from 1 species